UAAACAUUUCCAUUAUGAUUAUGAUGAUUUUUUCAUAUGGGAUCUUCUCUUGCCAAUCUUUCCCGUCACCUUCAAAUUCCAACAAUGUGUCUAGGAAGUCCUCAGCCUUCUUCUCACUCGGUUUGUGCUUCUCAAUCCUCUCUUUCACAAACCCUUCAAUAAUCUCUUUCGCUCGUCCCAGGUCUUUCAACAUGUUCUUCUUUAUUCCUUGUGGAUCUAACCAUUUCAAGAAAGGUAGAAAGUCUGCUACAUUUGGCUUCCCUGCCCACACUGAAGUCUUUCCUAGGGCUUGAAAGAAUUCAUACCCUUCUUUACUUUGUGAAUGCAAAAGGUCUCGUGACAGCAUGAGGUUCCCAACUAUGUUAAAUAACAUUGUGGAGAGAUAGUGACGUAAAUUCACUGCGACUGAUUCUCCCCUUGCACCUCCAGCUGUCGCAUCAUCUUCAAUACUCCUUAUCAUUUGAUCAAUGCAUUUUCGCCGUAUGGAGGCUGUCUCAUUGAUUCGCUUAUUGGACAUCAUUUCCAUAGAGCAAAGACGCCUAAGCAUGCGCCAGUACGGGCUAAACUGGCCGACUGCAAGUGACCCAUCCCUGUAGUUAUGACUCGUUAACACAUCAAGACACUUACGAUCACAGAAGUUGGCGUCGUGAUUCUUGAACAGCUCUGCCGCAGCCUUGGCCGACUGUAUCACUACCGUUUCCAUGGAUCCUAGUCUUAACCGGAGCACAGGUCCAUACUUCAACUUAAGCUCUUGCAGAGUUUGAUGGGGCACGGUUCCAAGAUCGAAAAUAUUGCCCA
rnacentral:misc_RNA from 1 species